GACGGAGGGUGCAAGCGUUGUUCGGAAUUACUGGGCGUAAAGGGCGCGUAGGCGGUCUGUUAAGUUCGGUGUGAAAGCCCCCGGCUCACCUGGGGAACUGCGCCGGAAACCGACAGACUCGAGUACCGGAGAGGAGGGUGGAAUUCCUGGUGUAGCGGUGAAAUGCGUAGAUAUCGUAAGGAAGACCAGUGGCGAAGGCGGGUCUCUGGACAGUUCCUGACGCUGAGGCACGAAGGUCAGGGGAGCAAACGGG
rnacentral:rRNA from 1 species